rnacentral:rRNA from 1 species
CAGUCGUGCUGGCGCGAAAUCAGCUCGACCACUCGGGGAUCACGAGCCGUAGCGAGCCUCAAAACCGCUACAACUCGUGAUUGCUUAGUGGCCUGGUGCACUUUCGUGUCGGCUGGUUAACAUCAAUUUCGAUCGUCAUAAAAAGGCUGGAGGGAUGUGGCUCCUUCGGGAGUGUUAUAACCUUUAGCGGAAUGUGGUGGUCGGGAUUGAGGCUUGCAACGAAUACCUUCAGGGCUGUUCCACCUGGCCUCUCAUCGGAAUUCUGGCGGCGACAGCUUGCUGACGUUGUUAGGAUCGGCCUUCGAACAGGCUAGAGUGUGAGCAAA